AUCCAUCCAUCCAUCCAUCCAUCCGUCUAGUUUAGCACACAACAAACUGUAAAUUUGAGAGCUAAAGUUAUGUAAAUUAUUUUCUUUGAAGAAGAAAUUACAAACUUAUGAAUGUUCAUUUUUUGACUAUAAACUGAGUGCUUCACAUGGACCAGGAGCCCCUCCUACACAGCAUGAACCAACCAGAUCUACUUGUGUUAAAGCCUAGGUGGCACUGGUGUGCAGUCCAGACCUAUAAAGCUGCAGAGCUCACAGAUGAUUUCUCACAUUCUGCCUUUACAGGAAGAGCCUUUACUGUACAAGUUAUGGAAGUGGAAUCACACUACAUCAUUUACAGUUUUCAGCUGUUUGUGUCAUGAUCAUUCAGCUCUAAAUUUAUCUUCAAUUACCUCAUCAGUGCUAUUAUAAUAGGGCAGUUCUCUGCUCGUGAAUCUCUGCAGCGUCGGGGGUCCCACCUGACCCUGUAUGAGUGCUAAGGCCUGAGAAUUGGAUUACAGCUUAUCCAUAUCAGCAGCUGUAGCUUCCUGACAAAGCCCGUGGGCCCCUGGGCACUUUUCAAGCAAGCCAGAAUUCACCAAGGACACUCCUGACUGGAAAAAAGUGGAAUGGCAGAGGAAUAUCUGGUGCCAUAAUCCUCUUACCCCUCGACACAUUACUUGAUGCUCUGACAAAUGGACUUAUUAACACUAUACCAACAGAUGCAUAAGAAGUCAGAAAUACUGUAAAUCUCUAGAAGCAGUACCCAGCCACACAACAAGAGCGUCUGAGUUUAUUUCCAGCCUGACAACAGAGCCUUUCUAAAUCAGUGUGAUCACAGCCUCACUGACAGGUUGUGACUAACUCAUGCAGUGCCCCUAAAUCAGACACACACACACACACACACACACACACACACACACACACACACACACACACACACACACACACACACUUAGACUUCACUGCAUGAUUUUAUUCUUAGUCCAGAUAAUGAGGGCAUUUUGGGUCAAAGCUGCAAUACCAAAACAGGUCCACACUGUAACACCAACAUUUAGAAAUAACUGAUGUGCUGGUUCUACUGGUCUUUUAAGGCAGUUCCUAUUAGGCUUCUUUACCCCCUCUGGAUCAUAGCACUAGUGUAACACUCCAGUUUAACACCAAGGAAUCUAAGUUGUCUUUUUUGGGAUGUAUGCCUGACAACAAGGACCCUUAAGGCCACUUUGCCUCUAGAGUGACUCUUGAGGCCAGUAGAGUGAUGUUUACCCACACAGAUGCUACACAACGCCAUAAACCUCCACUCACACCCACAUCAUGGUACCAUUGUAACCCCUUUUGGUUCAACUCUAACCACUUCAAGGAGUAUUUAAGCUAGCAUGGCAACCUUUACAAUAACUCAGUAAACCAUGCAGCCAAGUAGAGGUGCUUUUAAAUGAAAAUCUGUAAUAAGAGUUCAAUAUGGAAAUGAAAUCAAAUAACUGAAAUAAAAGAGUAAUAUUUACCCAUACA